UACGUAGGUGGCAAGCGUUGUCCGGAUUUACUGGGCGUAAAGGAUGCGUAGGCGGACAUUUAAGUCAGAUGUGAAAUACCCGAGCUUAACUUGGGUGCUGCAUUUGAAACUGGGUGUCUAGAGUGCAGGAGAGGUAAGUGGAAUUCCUAGUGUAGCGGUGAAAUGCGUAGAGAUUAGGAAGAACACCAAUGGCGAAGGCGACUUACUGGACUGUAACUGACGCUGAGGCAUGAAAGCGUGGGGAGCAAACAGG
rnacentral:rRNA from 1 species